rnacentral:tRNA from 1 species
GUCCUUGUAGCGCAAUGGAUAGCGCGUUGGACUCCUAAUCCAUAGGUCGUGAGUUCGAAUCCCGCUUGGGAUG